rnacentral:rRNA from 1 species
AACGGGUGAGUAACACGUGAGUAACCUACCCCGAUGAUCCGGGACAACCCGAGGAAACUCGGGCUAAUACCGGAUGUUGCUCCUUUCUCUCAAGGGAUUGGAGCAAAGAUAGCUUCGGCCUUCGCAUCGGGACGGGCCCGCGGCCAUUAGCUUGUUGGUGGGGUAACGGCCUACCAAGGCGACGAUGGGUAGCUGGUCUGAGAGGACGAUCAGCCACACUGGGACUGAGACACGGCCCAGACUCCUACGGGAGGCAGCAGUGGGGAAUCUUGCGCAAUGCGCGAAAGCGUGACGCAGCAACGCCGCGUGGGGGAAGAAGGCCUUCGGGUUGUAAACCCCUUUCAGUUGGGACGAAGCUUCGUCGGUUAAUAGCCGGCUGGGAGUGACGGUACCUUCAGCAAGAAGCCCCGGCUAACUACGUGCCAGCCGCC